UAUUCAUUCUUGUCCAAGAUCUGGUGUAGCAUCAUUGAGGCACGCUUGGAAGGGAUAAUACCUGGCCAUUGGCAGGAUGCGGUGUGGGCGACCCAUCAGGUGUCACCUAAGAACAAUCGUACAAAUGGAAAAAGCAAAAGGACACCUUUGGAUCUGAGACAAGAGCCCUGCAGCACCUCCACCAAUCUCCAGCAGAAACAUUAGGAACAAAAAGUUGACCUUGUGAAAGAUCCUGCUACGCGCUUCAGCGACGUCUCCUUUAUGUUGUAGCUAAAUGGCUUUCCCAUGUGCAGCACUGUUGUAGCCGUAUUGGUUCCAGAAUAUGACAGAG